AGUGAACGCUGGCGGUAGGCCUAACACAUGCAAGUCGAACGGCAGCACAGUAAGAGCUUGCUCUUACGGGUGGCGAGUGGCGGACGGGUGAGGAAUACAUCGGAAUCUACUUUUUCGUGGGGGAUAACGUAGGGAAACUUACGCUAAUACCGCAUACGACCUACGGGUGAAAGCAGGGGAUCUUCGGACCUUGCGCGAUUGAAUGAGCCGAUGUCGGAUUAGCUAGUUGGCGGGGUAAAGGCCCACCAAGGCGACGAUCCGUAGCUGGUCUGAGAGGAUGAUCAGCCACACUGGAACUGAGACACGGUCCAGACUCCUACGGGAGGCAGCAGUGGGGAAUAUUGGACAAUGGGCGCAAGCCUGAUCCAGCCAUACCGCGUGGGUGAAGAAGGCCUUCGGGUUGUAUAGCCCUUUUGUUGGGAAAGAAAAGCAGCAGGUUAAUACCCCGCUGUUCUGACGGUACCCCAAGAAUAAGCACCGGCUAACUUCGUG
rnacentral:rRNA from 1 species